rnacentral:rRNA from 1 species
CCUACGGGUGGCAGCAGUGGGGAAUAUUGGACAAUGGGCGAAACCCUGAUCCCGCGACGCCGCGUGAGUGAAGAAGUAUUUCGGUACGUAAAGCUCUAUCAGCAGGAAAGAAAGUGAUGGUACCUGACUACGAUGCCCCGGCUAACUACGUGCCAGCAGCCGCGGUAAUACGUAGGGGGCAAACGUUAUACGGAUUUCCUGGGUGUAGAGGGAGCGUAGACGUCAGCGCAAGUCUGGAGUGAAGGGCCGGGGCCCAACCCCGGAACUGAUCUGGAAACUGGGAAGCUGGAGUGCCGGAGAGGUAAGCGGAAUUCCUGGUGUAGCGGUGAAAUGCGUAGAUAUCAGGAGGAACACCGGCGGCGAAGGCGGCUCACUGGACUGCAACUGACACUGAUGCUCGAAAGUGUGGGUAGCAAACAGGAUGAGAGACCCGGGUAGUC